CACCAAAGCAGUUUAAGGUUUUUUUCAGAGUCCAACUCCGAUUCGAGAUGACUCGCCUCUCCUUGGGCAUUCUAGAGAGAGAAAGUGGAGAGAGGAGAGAGAAAGUGGAGAGAACAAGGGAAGGGGAAUCGUGAGGUCCCUCUCUCUCUCUCUCUCUUCUUCUUCCCGUGAAGUGGGAGGAGCUCGGCGGCAGAGCCGGUCAUGGCCGGCGACCCCACGAGCCUAGGGGUACCGGCGGGUUCCCUGCCUGGCGACGGCCGGCCGGAACGGGAGAAAAGAAGGCGGAACAGAGGAAAAGCAAAGAAACUUGUCCGAGACCAAUCCGGUGAUUCGCCGACCAGAUUCGGGGUGGUGACAGUGGCCCAUAGGCCGGAAAAAGGGAUAAAGGGGGCUUACCUCGUCUCUGGCGAGCUUCCCCGGUCGGAUCGACGGCGAAACCUCCCUAGAUCUGCUGCGGAGAAACAAGAGAUCUCAACCUUUAAUGGGAGAUCUUCCGAGGUGGAUGCCAAAGGAGAGGAAGAGAGGUCCUUUUAUAGAUGAAAUUCAGUCCGAAGAUGAGGUACGUGAGCACGCUAUAUAUGACCUACAACAUCCGAUACUGCUCAAUUUAACAACAGAUACAGUUAAUAAAAACAAGUAUCUACAGUCCAAGGAAUCGGCAUUGGAGACUGCUUUUCUUAUCAGAUAGGUUACAGAGAGCUAAAAUUUGGGCCAUCCUAUGCAUCUCUCGACAGCUAAAUCUUUCAAAGUUUAUGGGGCAGUUGUGCUAUAUGAGAAAUUGUUCUUUGAAGGGCUUCAUAUUGCGAUCCCAAAUCAAGUGAUGCUUCUGCCACCAAGCUAAGUUGAUUGAUGGCCUGAUUUUGCUGCUCUGCUCAGCCCAGAAUUGUUAUGAAGAGGAUGACAAUUUAUUCAUCUACUUAUGAUUCGAUCCGCAAGAUGCUUUUGCAAGACUUUGUAAAGUUUCCUUCCAUCAUGAAGUUAAAAUGGGUUCAUCAUCUCCACUGUCGUCAUCACCAAAAUCUUUUCCUGUCAUAUAUAACUAAGUUGAGUUCGCCCCACGUAGGCAACUGGUUCUUUCUACAAGAAAUGUUGAAAUUGACGCAAGAGCUCGAUUGCGAAAAAGAAAAAAGGGGACCAGAGUGAUGCUGUUUGUCGUGUAUGAAUGUAAUGUAUACUCAGCCUUUGAUGUCUUAAUGGAAGAAAGAAAACAUCGAAAUAAUUUGAAUUCAAA